AUUGAACGCUGGCGGCAGGCUUAACACAUGCAAGUCGAGCGGGGUGAUGGUGCUUGCACUAUCACUUAGCGGCGGACGGGUGAGUAAUGCUUAGGAAUCUGCCUAUUAGUGGGGGACAACAUCUCGAAAGGGAUGCUAAUACCGCAUACGUCCUACGGGAGAAAGCAGGGGAUCACUUGUGACCUUGCGCUAAUAGAUGAGCCUACGUCGGAUUAGCUAGUUGGGGGGGUAAAGGCCUACCAAGGCGACGAUCUGUAGCGGGUCUGAGAGGAUGAUCCGCCACACUGGGACUGAGACACGGCCCAGACUCCUACGGGAGGCAGCAGUGGGGAAUAUUGGACAAUGGGGGGAACCCUGAUCCAGCCAUGCCGCGUGUGUGAAGAAGGCCUUAUGGUUGUAAAGCACUUUAAGCGAGGAGGAGGCUCUUUUGGUUAAUACCCAAGAUGAGUGGACGUUACUCGCAGAAUGAGCACCGGCUAACUCUGUGCCAGCCGCCGCCGUAA
rnacentral:rRNA from 1 species